ACGAACGCUGGCGGCGUGCCUAAUACAUGCAAGUCGAACGAAGCGAUGAUCGGAAGUUUUCGGAUGGAAGAGAAAUCGCUUAGUGGCGGACGGGUGAGUAACACGUGGGCAACCUGCCUAUAAGACGGGGAUAACUUGCGGAAACGUGAGCUAAUACCGGAUAGACGAGACUCCUGCAUGGGAGAUUCGGGAAAGGCGGAGCAAUCUGCCACUUAUAGAUGGGCCUGCGGUGCAUUAGCUAGUUGGCGGGGUAACGGCUCACCAAGGCGACGAUGCAUAGCCGACCUGAGAGGGUGAUCGGCCACACUGGGACUGAGACACGGCCCAG
rnacentral:rRNA from 1 species